rnacentral:rRNA from 1 species
AGUGAACGCUGGCGGUAGGCCUAACACAUGCAAGUCGAACGGCAGCACAGUAAGAGCUUGCUCUUACGGGUGGCGAGUGGCGGACGGGUGAGGAAUACAUCGGAAUCUACUUUUUCGUGGGGGAUAACGUAGGGAAACUUACGCUAAUACCGCAUACGACCUACGGGUGAAAGCAGGGGAUCUUCGGACCUUGCGCGAUUGAAUGAGCCGAUGUCGGAUUAGCUAGUUGGCGGGGUAAAGGCCCACCAAGGCGACGAUCCGUAGCUGGUCUGAGAGGAUGAUCAGCCACACUGAACUGAGACACGGUCCAGACUCCUACGGGAGGCAGCAGUGGGGAAUAUUGGACAAUGGGCGCAAGCCUGAUCCAGCCAUACCGCGUGGGUGAAGAAGGCCUUCGGGUUGUAAAGCCCUUUUGUUGGGAAAGAAAAGCGGCAGGUUAAUACCCCGCUGUUCUGACGGUACCCAAAGAAUAAGCACCGGCUAACUUCGUG